UGGGGAAUUUUGGACAAUGGGCGAAAGCCUGAUCCAGCAAUGCCGCGUGUGUGAAGAAGGCCUUCGGGUUGUAAAGCACUUUUGUCCGGAAAGAAAUCCUUGGCUCUAAUACAGUCGGGGGAUGACGGUACCGGAAGAAUAAGCACCGGCUAACUACGUGCCAGCAGCCGCGGUAAUACGUAGGGUGCAAGCGUUAAUCGGAAUUACUGGGCGUAAAGCGUGCGCAGGCGGUUUGCUAAGACCGAUGUGAAAUCCCCGGGCUCAACCUGGGAACUGCAUUGGUGACUGGCAGGCUAGAGUAUGGCAGAGGGGGGUAGAAUUCCACGUGUAGCAGUGAAAUGCGUAGAGAUGUGGAGGAAUACCGAUGGCAAAGGCAGCCCCCUGGGCCAAUACUGACGCUCAUGCACGAAAGCGUGGGGAGCAAACAGGAUUAGAUACCCUGGUAGUCCACGCCCUAAACGAUGUCAACUAGUUGUUGGGGAUUCAUUUCCUUAGUAACGUAGCUAACGCGUGAAGUUGACCGCCUGGGGAGUACGGUCGCAAGAUU
rnacentral:rRNA from 1 species